ACCAAAAUGACUCUCGGCAAUGGAUAUCUCAGCUCUUGCAUCGAUGAAGAACGUAGUAAAAUGUGAUACUUGGUGUGAAUUGCAGAAUCUCGUGAACCAUCGAGUCUUUCAAUCCAAGUUGCGCUCGAAGCCGUCAUACUGAGGGUACAUCUGCCUGGGCGUCAGGCAUCG
rnacentral:rRNA from 1 species